rnacentral:lncRNA from 1 species
UUUUUUUUUUUUAAGAGCAGCUGCCACUUGCAGGAUUUCAUUUCUGCUUUACCCGGUCCAGUCCAGUGACAUCAUCAGUCGUCAUGGUGGGCAGGGAAAGUCCUUGCUCAGGUCACUCCUGGUCAGGCAGGUAGCAGUGGGGCGGGAGGGACGGAGGGAGCACCCACACUGGUUUCUGUGCAGUGUUAGGAAAAGCAAUCAGGUUACUUGCGUUGGCUUCCAAGAAGGAAAAUGCAAGCCCCGCUUCCCGCGAGAGCCAGCUUCUCCCAGCUGUGCCGGCAGCAUCUUUUCUGUAUUUUAGGUCUAGUACUGUUCAUGACUAUGGACAACUCGGGUGCCGCUUUUUUUUUUUCUUUCUUUCUUUUUUCCUCAAUCCCAGUGUGACAUGAGGAGUUAGAUCUGGAAGAUGCUCCUCUGUUACUUUAUCUCGCAAACAGCUAAAAAUGCUGUGCAGGCUUCUUAACCAAGCAUCUUGGUCUGUCAUUCAACAAGUACUGUAUCUCACUUUCGACUCUUUUUGGGAAAAGAAAAGGAAAAAAAAAAUGACAAACCUAAGUUGCUUUUGUUUUUGUUUUUGUUUUUUCUUCUCAACACUGUAACUACACUUCAGCUCUGCUCACAAGCCAGCAAUCGAAAACUCCAAUCUGGUUUAAAAGGAUGAAUGUGAAGUACGAACUAGCCCGUGACAAUAUAUGACUACCGAGUACUACCUGACGGCAGGCACUUGUCACUUUGAUGUUGGAGAAAGAGUUAAAGGCAUAUGCAGAGUUGGCAGAGAAACCGAGACAAGACACAGAGGAAAAGACACUCGGUUGUGUCCAGUGUUUUUAGGACGAACUUCUAAAGAACUUUGCGAUUUGCACAUCUUGAGUUUAUAAUUUGUGUGAUAUUCCUGCAGUUUUUAUCUAAUAACAUUGUGGGAAAGGUUUGGGAGGGUUACAAGAGCAUAAAUAAAUGUAGCAAAAUUACUUUCUAACCUGCCUAGACCCUAGGCCCUUCUUAGAAGGUUCUGUCCCCUUUGAGACUUCAUUUUGUCAUCUACCACAUCUGUCACCAGAAGCCAGGUCUGAGGGUCUUCUUCAGCGCCAUUGAGAGUUUCCCAUAUAGACAUUUUAUAUAUGUGAGCAAGUAUUUUCAUUUCUGGAAAAAAAAGUGUUAAAUUUUUUUUUAAAAGAAACUUAUGUUUCUAUUUGAAAUCCAACUAGGAUCU